AGGAUAUUAGUUAAAUCAAUAACAAUUAUUUUGCAAAUAAAAAUUAAAAUUUUAUUUUAUAUCUUA
rnacentral:tRNA from 1 species